CUCCCUCCUGCCCGACUCACACUUGUUGUUUCAGUGUGUAUUCUCUUGUGCUGGCAGGAAGGUGUACACGCCACCUCUCGGGACAUAUUGGUGUUGGUGCUGCUGUAUGGGUGUUGGUGCUGUGAACGAAAGACCUUUGACAUACACCCGAGUGGAGUUAACCUCUUGUCGCCGUCACUACCCCAGGUUGAUGGAAGAACGUCUGAGAUGAUGGAACAAUUACAUUAGGUAGUGAAGAGGAGGGCAGAGUUACCAGGUCUCGCUACCACUCACCUGCGUUAAAGGUAUCACCGGGUUCGAGCUGCUUCACAUCAGUGGUCGAGACAGAUUCAGAAGAGGCCGCUUUUGUCUUCGGAGUGAACAUCAGUAGCUAUAACAUCCUCUCCCAGCCGGUGUGAUGUGACGUGAUGUGACGUGACGUGACGUGACGUGAUGUGAGGUAAUGACAGUCACCAGGUAAUUAAUGGAAGGAUCAGGUGAGACAGCAAACACCAUCCCUCCACUCAACUCCUCGUGACAGAGACAUUCCACUUCAACCACACCAAAAAUAAAGAUAACGAGUGAGAAAAUAAAGAUAGAAGAAGGUGUAAUAAUUAAGGAGAUAAGAGAGAUAAAGUGAGUGAGUGAGUGAAGGAACUUUUCACCGUAAACAUGUGAGUGAGGGGUCGUGGAGCAGUAGAGGUGGGCAUUACUAGACCUGAGGCGAUUUGGCCCCACCAGCAUCCUGCAGGAGACUCACACCGCCAUGGAAGGAGCGUGACACAUCUUGCUAGCUAGAAGGAGUCAGGAUGGAGAGCAAACCAGCAGGAGGGGGAUUUCCUGGUGGAGGAGG